rnacentral:rRNA from 1 species
UACGGAGGGUGCAAGCGUUGCUCGGAAUUACUGGGCGUAAAGCGCGUGUAGGCGGUCCCGUGCGUCUGGCGAGAAAGCCCCGGGCUCACCCCGGGAAGUGCGUUGGAAACUGCGAGACUAGAGUUCCGGAGAGGAAGGUGGAAUUCCAGGUGUAGCGGUGAAAUGCGUAGAUAUCUGGAAGAACACCGGUGGCGAAGGCGGCCUUCUGGACGGUGACUGACGCUGAGACGCGAAAGCGUGGGGAGCAAACAGG